rnacentral:rRNA from 1 species
AAAUGAAUUGACGGGGGCCCGCACAAGCGGUGGAGCAUGUGGUUUAAUUCGAAGCAACGCGAAGAACCUUACCAGGUCUUGACAUCCUCUGAAAACCCUAGAGAUAGGGCUUCUCCUUCGGGAGCAGAGUGACAGGUGGUGCAUGGUUGUCGUCAGCUCGUGUCGUGAGAUGUUGGGUUAAGUCCCGCAACGAGCGCAACCCUUGAUCUUAGUUGCCAUCAUUAAGUUGGGCACUCUAAGGUGACUGCCGGUGACAAACCGGAGGAAGGUGGGGAUGACGUCAAAUCAUCAUGCCCCUUAUGACCUGGGCUACACACGUGCUACAAUGGACGGUACAAAGAGCUGCAAGACCGCGAGGUGGAGCUAAUCUCAUAAAACCGUUCUCAGUUCGGAUUGUAGGCUGCAACUCGCCUACAUGAAGCUGGAAUCGCUAGUAAUCGCGGAUCAGCAUGCUGCGGUGAAUACGUUCCCGGGGCCUGGUACACACCCGCCCGUAAUCGGAUCCCCGGGCCCGU